GCGUAUAUAACUACUGAUUUGCAUGGGUAUAAAACAAGAGAAGAACGGUUUACUACAAAAGUCUGAAAAGCAGAAUUGGAAUCGACCUUUUACACGUGUUUUAUUGUUCGAUUACUUGAACGUGAAACGACAAAGUCGGGACAAUUUGUUUGUUUACAUGUGAAAUCAAUUUUCUUUUAGUGAAUCCCGAUUUUCCGUAACAAGUGAUAAAAAGAACUUUCUUCACCUUAAGUUGCAAAAGGCGUCCUGGUUCUGAGGAAUGCGCACAGACUUUAAUGCUGAAUGUGAAACGAAGAAAUGCAGUUGCAAAUAUUGAAUGUUCUCCGAAGUUAGAAAUUAUAUUCGAACAAGGCGGGGUUUGAAAAUCGAAAGCCUCAGAAUGACUCCCCCCCAUACUGCUAGUCUGCGAGUUCUGAGCCGUCUUCGCUUGCCUGGGUUUCGCUGAUCGCGUUGCACGUUGUAAGAUUUUUAUGUGACCGUGAAGAAUGAAGUUUGGUCAUGGCUGCUGCAGUGUGGUGUAGCGGCGUCCUGUUCAUGGAAUCAUACUCCAUUCUCGGUCACGUGGUAGGCAAAGGAGACAUCAAGUGCAGUUGAGACAACGCCGAAAAUCAUUCUAUUAAUGUCUUUAGGAUUAAAGAUGGAGACUGUUUCUCCAAAACGUUAUUGUCAUCCAACAAAAGUCCACGUGUUUUGAAGGCUAGGUUAGGUUCAUCGUCCUGUGAAAUCGAGAUUGUGUGAAGGUUGGUUGGGAAGGAAGUGUCGAAGCGGAGGGUGACAGUCGGGAGCAUGCGCAGUGGGUAAGAACCACACGUGCGCUCUCAUUCUGCGGAAGAUCCACAAAUAACGAGCAGUGCGAGUUACGGGCUGCUAGCGGGCAGGUAAAGGAAUCAUCCUUAAAUUUGUAUCGUCUGUCGACAGAUGGCUGGACGGGCGGGCUGGCUGUUCAUUCGAAAGUCACCCCGACCCGUCCAUGUUUCCCUUCCCCUCCUUUCUUCCCCUAUCAGUUUACAGUCAUCCAACUACCCUACGGUUAUUUGUGUAGGACGUGCUUCAAAGACGUGAAAUGCCGCACGUGUGGUGGAAGAUUUUCUGGACAGUGGUUCUGAACUAUAAUUUUCUGUGUAUACACACGAUGAGCGUCCACAUACAAUGUUUAUCUCGAGUUGCACACAUACUGAAAGUUACGUGGCAGCAGUACGACCGUGGCCGUGUUAAGCGAGUGGACCGUGUACUUCCCGAUAUAAGGACGCCGGACUUUGGCAGGAAUUAACUCGACCAUGGCUUUCACCUUUCUCAGACUUUGUCAGGCGAUUCUACAUUGGUGUCGCAGUACUUCUGAGUCCCUACACGGUGAUGAAGACGAGAUGCCGUUUGAAAUGGCUGGAACUGGUCGCCACGUCUCCGACGGUGGGUCCAUGGACGAAAUGCGUGAUCGUGGUAAACUUGGACGAGGUGCCAUUGACAGAGUUCGCAUUGAUGUGCCUCUAAGGGGUGGGAGAAGUGGAGACCAAGCUACAUUGAAGGAAGCGGAUCGUGGGAAUCCAUCCAGGGACAUUCCAAGUGAUCCUAUCUUCAAAGAUGUGUGUCUACCGUUGGAUUUAGCUUCAGAAAAGCCUGAAGUGGGGGAUUUGCAAGAGAACCUACGAUCACUCGAUUCCAGUGCCCAAAUUCCAUACCGUACACCCAGCACAGAUUUGACUGAAUUGGAACAGAGCCUUGAUUACUGGCAUCGACAACAUUCUCGCCAGCGUUAUGGCUGUCCGAAACACGUAGAAGAUGAAUCUCAUAGCAAAGUUCGCUACAACGACACAGGAAGCCUAGAGGAGGUUAACCGUGAAGAACAAGUUGAUUACAUAGUGCAGAGUGGUAAAGAGUCGAGAUACUUCUCUUAUGGACAAAGUGCACAGUAUGAAUAUCGAAAACUGUGGAGUCUGCGUGCCACGCUGGCAGAGAGUGAACAUUUGUCUGAGCAAAGAGUCAACAACAAAGAAACAGUUACCUUGACUCCAGGAAGAGUCAAACACAGUCAGUCGUCUGUUGAGAUAUAUCCCGGGAGAGCAGUGGAGGCACGUGCUGGUCGCAGUUUGGACAGCGCGACUGUCGGUUAUACCAACGAGGAAAUAUCACAUCAAACCCGUCGUCAAAUGUAUAUCAAUGCAGCAAAUUCGAGAAUGAAGUGCACAGUACGCAGUGUUUGUCAGUGCGAGAGCCUGUCGCUUAAUAGCAGUCGUGAGUCAAUUGACACAAUAGAUAAUGAACAUUAUUCUACAGACACCAGUUUCGUUGAUCAGCCCACAAAUUAUGGUAUUGAUGGCAGCAGUGUUGACAGACAAGAACGCAGACUCGAGCAGCUCCGUGCGGACAGCGGGUAUCGAAGCAUGGAGAAUCCGCCAGCAACCAACUUGGGCACUCACCAGCAAUCAUUUGAUACAACAGGGAGGCCACCACACCAUAUUCCCAUUGAUUAUCAUAUUGAGAUGCCAGUGUGUUACAACACGUCACGUGAUUCACAGGGAAGUGCUGCGGAUUUGAGCACAAAACGCAGAGAUAGUUUUAAAAGUGUGAAUAGAUCAAUGUCCGCAGGUUACAACACCGCUAUGGUGCAGUAUUGUCAUGAGGUUGAUGAGGGUGUGGCUGAACUUCAGUCACCUCUCGGACCUAAUAUAAGUUUUGGCUCGUGGGAGAGAUGUCAAAGAAAGAACUAUCAUUCAGCUUCGAGAAGACGGCGUGAAUUUGGCUUUGGCGGCGGUCGUCACGCUCUGGCACACGUGGCAGAAUCCAAAUAUUCCCGCUCCCAAAUUUUUCAGACUGUUGGUGCCGGUUACACCCGUGAUUACAGUGUCGAUCAGAAGUCUGACGCGUUAUUUCGCGAGUUCAGUCGUUGCGAUCCUGUGAAAACAAGAGCCAGUGGUGUACACCGACAACAGUUUAUACACUCGCUCCCAUAUCCUGUUCGGGACCACAUAAAAGAACUGUCACAGCCUCAAGACAGUGAUGAGGGUCUAUUGGCACUCGAUAUGACUAAGAAAGAAAGUGAUGAUCUAUUAACGACAUUAGACAGCGAUCAUUGUGAGGACAAUUAUGAUAGUAGCGAUAGUGAUGAAGAUGAUGACAGCGACUGACUUGUAGAUUAUAUAAUUAUGUUUGAGGGUACAGUUAUUUCUACCCUCCAUAUCAGAUACCAAAUAUUUUUUAUUCUAGUUAACUGAUGGAUGAAGGAAGAUAAGGGUGGAAUGACUCCAUUGUAGCAAAUUAAUUUCUACAAUAAUAAAUCCUCAUACAUCUCCGCUCAUCCAUUACUGUUAAGCGCAAAGUGAAGGAGGAUCUUUGAGGUAAUAUACAAUACAUAUUAGAAAUAGAGGGCUCUGCUGUUGUGUUAAUAUGGUUUACUGAUCUGCUCAAAAGACUAAGAAUAGCAGAAAUACAGGAUUAUGAAAGAGUCUCUGGUUACGAGCCGCGUCAGGUGGCUGAACGGUGAAUAAACCAUAUAUUCUGUCAACGUUUCGAGAACAAUGUCUGCUCUCAUCCUCAGGGCUGCUGCGUAGCAAAUCUGAUAUGGUUUAUUCGGCAUUCGGCCACCUGACGCGGCUUGUAACCCGAGUCUGUCAUCAACUUCAGUCGCCACGAAAGCUUAACUUUAUACAACAAAUACAGAAUGUUUCACACCUGGUUUGUGACACUUCAGAAGGUUAUUUAAUAGGUAAAUUCAUGAAAAAAAUGUUAUUACAAUAUUGUUUCUAUUUCCAAUAAUUGCAUAGCUCUGGUGAUCUCAAAGUAUUUGCGAGUAUUAAUCAAAUCAGUUUAUUGCUACGUAUUAUGAUGUACAUUCAAAAUGUUCCCCACAGUUUUCAGUGCAUAACAUUGCUCAUUCCAGACAACAGUUUACCGCGAUCUGAAUUUCAGGGUGUUCUCGUAUGUAAGCAGCAACAUUCAUAAUCUGAUGUACUUCUUCUCUCGCGUGUACUUUGAUCCUACAGGUCAUCUCUUCGUCAGACCUCAUAAAAAGAAAUUGAGCAGUGUUAUGCUGAGAGAUUUUGUGGUCAAGAUAUUGAAACAUGAUAACCUAUCCAAUGACUUUGUAAUGUUGAUUAAGUAAACCAUAACUUGAUGAUCAAAAUGUGCUGAAGGAAGAUUUUGCCACCUUGCCUUCAGGCACAUUAUCCAUUAGAUACUUUGACGACCCAUUCUUCAGUGUGGGUCCCAACUUUUAGUUGGCUUGAUCUAUAGACAUUUUGGUAUGACUCCUUGGACGAGGGAUCAGCCCAUUGUGAGGCCUCUACCCGUACACAGGACAACACAACACAGAAAAACAUCCAUGGCAUGAGUGGGAUUCAAACCCAUGGUCCCAGCGACCAAGCGGCACAAGGGCAAUGCCUCAGACUGCGCGGCCACUGUGACCCCUAUUCUCCAUUAGAAACCAAAUUUUAUUUGUCAGGAAGUUUUGAUAAUUAGCAGAUUAUUCGAAAUAUUCACUGAAAGUCAUACUAAAAUGCUCGUCAGUAGUAGUAUGAGGAUUAUGGGCGAUUCUCACCAUUGAUCAUAACCAAAAUAAUAGUAACAAAGCAACUGACAAUUUGCAGUGAUAACAUCUUAAGCUGAAACCAUCAUCAGUGCUGCCAUCUAUCAAAGCACAUUUGUUGUUUGCAUAUCUUAAAACAUCCAUAGCUCUGCAAUAGUUGGAAAAAGAACCAUUACUGUAAGACAACCUGUAUUUUAGUUAUGAUUUGAAGCUUUUGCGGUGACGUAACUCAAUAAAAUAUUCUCGGGCGAUCAGAUGCGUCAGCCGGUUAAAAGAUGAAACUGAAGUUUCAGGGACCUGUCAUCAGAACCCUGAUGAUCGGGACAGACAGUCCCUGAAACGUCGGUUUCUUCCUUUAACCAGUUGACGCGGCUGAUCGCCCAAGAAUGAAGAAUGAAGAAUGUUUCAGGGAAUUGAAUUAUACUAUCUUUCUGUUCAAGGUCAUAUGGUAACUCAUAUUCAUCAGGAUGCCAAAUUCCAGAAUGUGUCGAAACAUGCUCAAACACUAAUAACAAGAAAAUAAAAAAAUGGGACGUAUACUGAAUUAUUUAAGUAAUGUGUACUUAAGACAAAAGUGUGUGGAUGAAGACAGAUGGCAGUCACGCGUUCCUUGGUGUUCUUCGUACACACAAGUACAUGAUCAGUUCUACUGCGCUGAUAAGGCUUGCACCGAGGAAGAGGCCCACUGCACCUCCAAUAGAGACUGAAAUUUGGAGUAUUUAUUUGUCAGUUCAUUUUGAGAAGGCAAAGGCGAAAUUAAACUCCCAGAAUAAAACUGAUUUUUUUUUCCAAAUGCAGGAAAGUAAUGUAAAUAAUAAUAAUUAUGAAAUAAUAAACAAAAGCCAAAUAUAUCA